GACAGAGGGUGCAAACGUUGCUCGGAUUUACUGGGCGUAAAGCGCGUGUAGGCGGGCGACUAAGUCGGAUGUGAAAUCCCUGGGCUCAACCUAGGAACUGCAUUCGAAACUGGUCACCUAGAGUGAUGGAGAGGAAAGCGGAAUUCCCGGUGUAGUGGUGGAAUGCGUAGAUAUCAGGAGGAACACCGAUGGCGAAGGCAGGUCUCUGGGCCAUAACUGACGCUGAGAAGCGAAAGCAUGGGGAGCGAACAGG
rnacentral:rRNA from 1 species